rnacentral:rRNA from 1 species
CCUACGGGACGCUGCAGUGGGGAAUAUUGGACAAUGGGGGCAACCCUGAUCCAGCCAUGCCGCGUGUGUGAAGAAGGCCCUCGGGUUGUAAAGCACUUUCAGUGAGGAAGAACGCCUGGUGGUUAAUACCCAUCAGGAAAGACAUCACUCACAGAAGAAGCACCGGCUAACUCCGUGCCAGCAGCCGCGGUAAUACGGAGGGUGCGAGCGUUAAUCGGAAUUACUGGGCGUAAAGCGCGCGUAGGUGGCUUGAUAAGCCGGUUGUGAAAGCCCCGGGCUCAACCUGGGAACGGCAUCCGGAACUGUCAAGCUAGAGUGCAGGAGAGGAAGGUAGAAUUCCCGGUGUAGCGGUGAAAUGCGUAGAGAUCGGGAGGAAUACCAGUGGCGAAGGCGGCCUUCUGGACUGACACUGACACUGAGGUGCGAAAGCGUGGGUAGCAAACAGGAUUAGAUACCCCAGUAGUC